rnacentral:lncRNA from 1 species
CGACGGCCCCAGAGAGGAGGACGAGUCCAAGCUGGCGUCCGGCCUGCAGAUCCCUGGUUUGGCGAAUCCUGCUGAGAGUGAGCAGUAGGAGGAUUCUCGAAAGCUUCCAGCUUGCCACCUGGCAGAAGGUCACUUUCUUUUGAGCAGAGGAGAUAAUAGGAGGUACCCUGCCAGUGUUCACUGAGAGGCGGGGGUGGCAGGGGCCACAGUUGCUCUGGGAGGGUUGUGGUACCUGGGGCUGGGUGGCUCGCCCUAAGCUUGCUCUGACAAAAGAGUUUUGAGUUGGUCUUUUGACUGAGCCUGCCAAGGAAGGCAGGCCCCUGCAGGAGUCUUGGAGGGUCGGAUGCAGCGCCGGAUGAGGAUGAGGCGUGGCAGAAGAUGCGUUUGGCUCUGCAGACACUGCAUCGGGCAGCAGGGGACUCUGGGAGGCUGGUGCAGCCAGAAGGCAUGGCUCUUGACAGCCUUCUAGUAGAAUCUCUGGAAUUGUGCAUGGCAGAAGAGGAAAGAAACUAACGGGUAUUGAGCACCUACUGUGUGCCAGGCCCAGGCCAGG